AGCUUUGUACGGUUCGGAUUAGCGAUUAUGGUCCGAGGAUCUUUUCAACGGCCACUUUUCGCUCGGUGGCAUCGAGGAACCUGAUUGGUGCGUGUAGUCGGGAAGCUCAUGUUCCCUCUCUGACCCUACUAGGUCCUGGAGCAGUAUGGGCCUGUACCAAAAGGAGAAGAUGAAGCAGAUCGAUGGAUCUAAAAAAAUUAUCAAAGCGGAUGGUAUGUGGGAGGCAGCUCAGAAAAGGAACCAAGUGGAUUUGAGUUUCUCAAAGCUUAGUGAUCGAGACCCUUUUCUUUGCGUUAUUCAAUAAGAUUUCUCGAAGUUUGCUAAGUUUUAUGAUAAGGAGUUCCUGAAGCGCAGCACAGCUGGGAAGAGGUGAUGUAGAAACCAACACUCUUGAGUUUAGGUACGAAAUAAUUUGACAUUUAUUGAUAAGUUAAAUUUUGUUUGAUCAAGUAUGCUGUUGAGACAAAUUCAAAGGGUUUGCUUCUAAUGGGUUUGAACAAUUUUGCUGAUAAAAUUGAGGAGGAAUUGAAGGGACUUACUAAAGGUUAGGAUAUGAAGUUUGCCCAGCGAUUCUGGAAAUUCGUUACGGAGAAGAAAGGGUGGAAGAACUCUUGCCAGUGGCUGUAAUGUUGGCAAUCGAUUCCUUCGACCUAGAUUGACUCGACCAAAGACCACAAUGUUCUUGUGGCUGAGCAUGAGGCAUAAGUGAGGAAGAAGGCUUGCAACAGCAGAGCACGCAGCCGGAGAGAGGAUGAUCUGGUGGAGCUCAGUUAGAACAUGCUCAGGAAGCGCCGUGAGGGACUCCUCCACCCGUCCCAUCAGCAAUUCCUAGAUGCCUCACAAAAUGCCGCAUCCAUGGAGAAAAAAAGAACAUUGAUUUGCAAAGAAAUAUUGGUCUUGAGGGCAAUCUGGAAUCUUGAGUUAAUUAGGUACUGUACUAAGUACACUCCAUUUGAAUGAUAUGAUUUUGAUCAAUCUGCGCUGGGUAAGCAAGACAUGGGAAUUUAUAUCACCAAUUACCAAUUUUCUAAGGGAACGGGAGCAAUUAUCAUGAAGUCUAUUGAACUUGAUUAUUGUGGAUCUUCUUAAUGAGCGCAAUUGAGAUGUUUGAAGCACAGCUGAGAGAAACUACAAGCAAUUUGGAUUCAUCGUCAGCGGAGAAGGGGUUCUUUGGUGAUUAAUAAAUGGCUCUAUCUCCUGAAUCUCUUAAACUGUAAGAAUAUAAUACGCUGGCUUGCUAAAACUCUCAGUUGUUCCUACAUGGACUCUCCACUCUUUCUUAUUUCUAUUUCGAACACUCACGUUGUCUCCAUUACAACAUCUCCAGAGGCAAUUAAAAAAGUUUAAUGUUCUUCGGACCUGUUGUCUGCUUGCUGUUCCUGACUGAAUUUGCAAGGAGCUAUACCACAAGUUGCAGAUUGAUGACAUUGAAUACAUGCCAAUCUAUCAAGAAUUUAUGACAAAAUUCUUCAAUUCGGUUUUUGGAUCACUAUCGCUGCCUAAUUACCUUCUUGGGACUAACUAUAUAAGAGCUUUGGAGGCAAAUAUGAAGGUGUUUUUUCAUGUCUAUCAUGGAAUAUUUAUGGUAUGUAUAUCAAGUGUGUGCCAAAAGUUCAUUGUGCUAUACAGGUAAGGAAAAAUGUUGUUGAUUUGUCAAGGCAAUUGGCACAAGAGAGGAGAGCAUCUAAAUAAAAUCCCAUGUGCAUGCUUGGUCGGCUAAUGAAAGACGAGGAAAACAUUGCUGGCCUUUGAACAACAUGAAAAGGAGUUGCAAGUUCAUAGCUAAAUAUGUCUAGCUAUGGAAAGUAGCAUUUCAUGGCACCUCUCCAUGAUGGAUUCACAGCUGCUAAUUAAUUUUCAUUAAUUUUAUGUUAAUUAUAUAUCCAGGCAAUAAAAUAGAUGCAUCUUGCUCUUGCCA